rnacentral:snRNA from 1 species
GUGCUUGUGGGAAAAACCUUUCUUUAAAGAAUUGGAAUGAUACAGAGAAGAUUAGCAUGGCCCCUACACAAAGAUGACAUGCAAAUUCAUGAAAAAUAUCCAUUAAAA